UACGGAGGGUGCGAGCGUUAAUCGGAAUAACUGGGCGUAAAGGGCACGCAGGCGGUCUUUUAAGUGAGAUGUGAAAUCCCCGGGCUUAACCUGGGAAUAUCAUUUCAGACUGGGAGUCUAGAGUACUUUAGAGAGAGGUGGAAUUCCACGUGUAGCGGUGAAAUGCGUAGAGAUGUGGAGGAACACCAAUGGCGAAGGCAGCCCCUAGG
rnacentral:rRNA from 1 species